UACGGGGGGGGCAAGCGUUGUUCGGAAUUACUGGGCGUAAAGCGUCCGCAGGUGGCAGUUCAAGUCUGCUGUCAAAGACCGGGGCUUAACUUCGGAAAGGCAGUGGAAACUGAACAGCUAGAGUAUGGUAGGGGCAGAGGGAAUUCCUGGUGUAGCGGUGAAAUGCGUAGAUAUCAGGAAGAACAUCGGUGGCGAAGGCGCUCUGCUGGACCAUAACUGACACUCAGGGACGAAAGCUAGGGGAGCGAAUGGG
rnacentral:rRNA from 1 species